rnacentral:rRNA from 1 species
UACGUAGGAGGCAAGCGUUGUCCGGAAUUACUGGGCGUAAAGCGCGUGUAGGUGGUGGGACAAGUCUGCUGUGAAAGCGCCUGGCUUAACCGGGCGAGGUCGGCGGAAACUGUCCGACUCGAGGACGGUAGAGGGGGGUGGAAUUCCCGGUGUAGUGGUGAAAUGCGUAGAGAUCCGGAGGAACACCAGUGGCGAAAACGGCCACCUGGACUGCACCUGACGCUGAAACGCGAAAGCUAGGGGAGCGAACGGG